GACGAACGCUGGCGGCGUGCCUAACACAUGCAAGUCGAACGAGGUCCAAGGAAGCUUGCUUCCUGACGACCUAGUGGCGAACGGGUGAGUAACACGUGAGAAACCUGCCUCGGAGUGGGGAAUAACUCGGGGAAACUCGAGCUAAUACCGCAUAUCUUCACAUGAUCGCAUGGUCGAGUGAAGAAAGAAUUUCGCUCUGAGAGGGUCUCGCGGCCUAUCAGCUUGUUGGUGGGGUAACGGCCCACCAAGGCAACGACGGGUAGCUGGUUUGAGAGAGCGAUCAGCCACACUGGGACUGAGACACGGCCCAGACUCCUACGGGAGGCAGCAGUGGGGAAUCUUGCGCAAUGGGCGAAAGCCUGACGCAGCAACGCCGCGUGCGGGAUGACGGCCUUCGUGGUUGUAAACCGCUUUCAGCAGGGACGAAAAUGACGGUACCUGCAGAAGAAGCCCCGGCUAACUACGUGCCAGCAGCCGCAGUAACAC
rnacentral:rRNA from 1 species